AUAUCAAUAAGCGGAGGAAAAGAAACUAACAAGGAUUCCCCUAGUAGCGGCGAGCGAAGCGGGAAGAGCUCAAAUUUAUAAUCUGGCACCUUCGGUGUCCGAGUUGUAAUCUCUAGAAGUGUUUUCCGCGUUGGACCGCACACAAGUCUGUUGGAAUACAGCGGCAUAGUGGUGAAACCCCCGUAUAUGGUGCGGACGCCCAGCGCUUUGUGAUACACUUUCAAUGAGUCGAGUUGUUUGGGAAUGCAGCUCAAAUUGGGUGGUAAAUUCCAUCUAAAGCUAAAUAUUGGCGAGAGACCGAUAGCGAACAAGUACCGUGAGGGAAAGAUGAAAAGCACUUUGGAAAGAGAGUUAACAGUACGUGAAAUUGUUGGAAGGGAAACGCUUGAAGUCAGACUUGCUUGCCGGAGCUUGCUUCGGUUUGCAGGCCAGCAUCAGUUUUCCGGGGUGGAUAAUGACGGUUUGAAGGUAGCAGUCUCGGCUGUGUUAUAGCUUUCCGUUGGAUACAUCCUGGGGGACUGAGGAACGCAGCGUGCUUUUUGCGAAAGACUCGUCUUUUUCACGCUUAGGAUGCUGGUGGAAUGGCUUUAAACGA
rnacentral:rRNA from 1 species